AGUUUUGUUUUUUGUUCAUUUUGGAAAGUGCUACACUUCCCGACGUUCUCCAAACUGACACUCAAUCCAUUUAUUAACAUUAACAGGUUUCUUCCAGGAACAUAAAGUAGCUUAAUUAAUCUUAUGUUAUAAACUUUUAUAGAGACUUGUAGGUGCCCUUUAUUAAAGUUUUAAUUUUU